GGCUCGGUAGCUUAGUUGAUAAAGCGCUCGUCUAGCAUACAAGAGUCCUGGGUUCAAGUCCCAGCCGAGCAC
rnacentral:tRNA from 1 species